rnacentral:rRNA from 1 species
GACGAACGCUGGCGGCGUGCUUAACACAUGCAAGUCGAACGGAAAGGCCUGCUUUCCCUUGCGUAUUGCGGGUACUCGAGUGUCGAACGGGUGAGUAACACGUGAGUGAGCUUCCCCCAACUUGUGUAUAAGCCUGGGAAACUGGGUCUAAUUCCCUAUAGGACUGCAGUGUGGUUCCGGUGGUUUAAGACGAUUGUCUUGGGGUUGCGGAUUAGCUCGCGGCCUAUGAGCUUGUGGGUUGGGUAAUGGCCUACCAGUGCGGGGACGGGUAGCCGGCCUGGGAGAGCGGACGGGAACAUUGGGCCUGAGAUACGGGGACGAAUAUUCCGGGCGGACGCCGUGGGGAGUAUUGAAUAAGGGGCGGAAGACUGAUGGAGCGACGCUGAGUCGGGGACGACGGGCUUGGGGUUGUAACCUCCUUUCGGUCGAGAGGAAGCCACCGGGUUGGAAGGGUGGUGACGGUAGUGGUAGAAGAAGCACCGGCUAACUACGUG